rnacentral:rRNA from 1 species
CGCGCAGGCGGUCGAUUUAGUCGCGUGUGAAAGCCCCCGGCUCAACUGGGGAGGGUCACGCGAUACUGAUCGACUCGAAGGCAGGAGAGGGUAGUGGAAUUCCCGGUGUAGUGGUGAAAUGCGUAGAUAUCGGGAGGAACACCAGUGGCGAAGGCGACUACCUGGCCUGUUCUUGACGCUGAGGCGCGAAAGCUAGGGAGCAAACG